UUCACUGUGCGCGCACAUCGCUGUGGAGAGUUUCACGUUUUGUUUAAGUUAAAAAUUUGACACUCGCAUUAAAGAUAAAUGUCACUGUCGGACUGUUCUUCAUAGAGAGCGGAAACAUGAAACAAGAUGUCAGGAUACUUUUACUGGGGGAACCCAAGGUGGGGAAGACGUCUCUCAUCAUGUCUUUGGUUGGAGAAGAGUUUCCAGAAGAAGUUCCCCCCAGAGCUGAAGAAAUCACCAUCCCAGCUGAUGUGACUCCUGAAAAGGUGCCUACACACAUAGUCGACUACUCAGAAAAAGAGCAGAGUGAUGCAGUCCUCAGAGAUGAGAUCAUCAAGGCUAAUGUUGUGUGUGUAGUGUAUGAUGUCAGCAAUGAGGACACCAUAGACAAGAUCAAAACCAAAUGGAUACCUUUAGUAAAUGGAGAUGCAGAGAAAGGGAAAAAGCUUCCCAUCAUCCUUGUGGGAAACAAGUCUGAUCUGCGCUGUGGGAGCUCAAUGGAAACCAUUCUUCCCAUCAUGAACCAGUUCUCUGAAAUUGAGACGUGUGUUGAGUGUUCUGCAAAGAACCUGAAAAACAUUUCAGAGCUGUUCUACUAUGCACAGAAGGCAGUUCUUCACCCCACCGCCCCUCUCUAUGACCCUGAGGACAAACGGCUAAAACCACUGUGUGUUCAAGCCCUCAGCAGAAUAUUCUAUAUUUCUGACCAGGACAAUGACCAUAUCCUCAGUGACGCUGAACUGAACAGUUUUCAGAAAUCCUGUUUUGGGAAUCCUCUAGCACCUCAAGCCUUAGAAGAUGUUAAGACCGUUGUUUGGAAGAACACCAGCGAUGGGGUGCAAGAUAAUGGCCUUACCCUAAAUGGUUUCCUGUUCCUUAAUACAUUAUUUAUCCAGAGGGGUCGACAUGAAACCACAUGGACGAUCCUCAGAAAGUUUGGUUAUGACGACAAACUUGAGCUGACUGAUGAUUACCUUUACCCAGAACUACGGGUUCCCGUCGGCUGCACCACAGAACUCAAUCAUUUCGGUCACCAGUUCCUCCAGCAGCUGUUUGACAAGUACGAUGAAGACAAAGACUCUGCCCUUUCGCCGGCAGAGCUUAGGAACCUGUUCUGUGUGUGCCCGUACAUGCCAUGGGGUGCAGAGGUGUACGUGACGGUUCCAACUACAGAUGAGGGCUACAUCUCUCAUCAUGGCUAUUUUUGUCAGUGGAUGGUUUCUGCAUACUUUGACAUCCACCGCUGCCUGGAGCACCUAGGGUACCUAGGGUAUCCCAUCAUCACUGAGCAAGAGUCACAGACUGCGGCAGUCACAGUGACACGGGAGAAAGAGGUGGACCUGGAGAAGCGCCAAACACAGCGGUCUGUGUUUCUCUGCAAGGUGAUUGGACCACGGGGGACGGGCAAGACAGCCUUUCUCCGGGGCUUUGUUGGCCGGAGCGUUGUGAGUAAGGGGAAUUCCAGCAGUGCCUUCUCCCCCUAUGCCAUAAACACUGUCCAAGUCAGCAACCAGGAAAAAUAUUUGAUUCUAAAUGAGGUAGAUGUGGAGACAGAGUUCCUGAAGGCAUCAGACGCCUCCUGUGAUGUCGCUUGUCUCAUGUACGACACCAGCGACCCACAUUCCUUCAACUAUUGUGCCAGUAUUUACAAGCAACACUACAUGGAGAGCAACAUCCCUUGUGUGCUAGUUGCCUCCAAGGUAGACCUUCCUGAAGUCAAACAGUUCCACGGGAUGCCCCCAGCAGAAUUCUGUUAUAAACACAGACUUCCUCCACCGCUGCCCUUCUCCAGCCUGUUCCUCGACACCACCAGCAAGAACAUCUACACCAGGCUCGCCUGGGCAGCAGUGUACCCACACCUGAAUGGAUCAGACAUGAGUAACACAUCCUUCUGGCUGAGGGUGGCGUUGGGUUCGGCUGUGGUUGCAGUUCUGGGCUUUGCCAUCUACAGAGCUGUUGCCAGACUGAAAUGACCAACAACCACCUGAACUUUUAUUUGUUUUUGGGUUUUUUUCUCAACUUGAUAUUCCUUCCAUCCAUCAUCAGGACCAGACCUCCAAAACCAGAUCCAGAGCCACAGCUGUCUGCAUCAUUUUUUUCACUUUCUCAUAAACUUCAGGUCAAUAGAUGGCAAUAAUCCAAAGGCAGUCGGAAGCUAGCAACUGUACUAUUCUUUGUGCCCAGCUUUUUCUGCCUUACAUCAUCUAACCGGGCUAAGUAGGAGUUAGCCUGUCUGCACUUGGUACAUUGAUACACAAAGAAUUACUACUGUUAAUGUACAUAAAGGUGCUCGAUCAAAACAGAGGAAAGAACAUGCCUUGGCAAGUGUGGAUGCUUCUCUUUGGUCAUUCAGCCUGAAGCUGCUAAACAAGUAGCCUUUUGCAACAAGACACCAGCAGAUGGCAGUGUUGCACGUCAGCUGAGAGAAGGAACAAGGCGCUCCAGUGAGCCUAUGAAGCCUAUCUGCGGACGUGAUUGAGAACACCAACUGCCAGCAGCUGAUCUAGCGGACUCCAUGGAACUGGCGCCGUCCCGUUUGUGUUUCUUCAUCCUCCUACUCCUGACAAAUAUAAAUACCACGGCGGAGUACUGAUCCACAGAACAUUAUGGGCUGAUAGCAGAGACAUUGGGCUUCCCGGGAACACACUUGUUCUCCUCGGUCCGCGCCGGCGAACAACUUUUAUUCCAGGAAAACCCGCUAGAAGUAAUGCGUGCUGUGAACAAUUUUGCACAAUUCGUGUUAAAUUGACCCAAACAGACGGAACCGGGGGUAAAAUCAUUCAAUGCAUAACGAAAUUUAAUCUAUACUUAAACGGAUGCACGCGGCUUGGUCGGUGCAGGAUUCUGUUUUUGCUUUUAAUACAUCGAUACAUUUUCCCAACUAACACAGUCCGGCCAUUGACUUUGAGUGACGUGGUAGAGAUUAUUUACUGUUAAACCUCCUAUAAAUUAAAUGUGUCAGUAUCUAAGUUACAGGUGACACUUGGGACGAUAUUAUGGGCUUAUAUAGGUUGAAAUUCGAUGGGUGGGUCCGCCGUGUUUGCUGGUUUUUGGGCAGAAUUGGUUAUAACUGUCACUAUGGCAGUCUCCACUCGAGCUUCAUUGUCAGGAAAGUUGCCAACACAUCCUAAGAUCAGGAAUUCAGUUACCGGGUUCUAAAAUUGAUCCCUAUAUUUUGGGCAGAGGCGUAAGUGGUUACUCUGUGACCAGGUGUGAGUCCAGCUGCAGAGGGGGGCUGCGCUCGGAACCAAAGUCCUUCAGUAUAGGGCGCAGUGACGGCUUUCUUUUGUUCAGGAACUGGCGCAUCAGACCACAGUCAAUGACAGGUUGGACACUGGGCUUUCCUCAGUUAUAUAACUGUCGGUGGUGCCAGUCCAAAGCAGGAAAAACCUCUCAGAUAAGGAACUUUACAGUUAUUCAGUUUUAUUUGUAGUAUUUUAAUAUCAGGUCUGAUGUCCCUCCCUGCAACGCCAUUUUGAUUCUUAUAUGAAAGUCACAAACACUAGAGUAGUGCUUUCCCCCGACUUUUCUGGCAUAUUUAUCCGACUUAUUUUACACUGUUUUUGGAUAAUAACAUAUUUACACUAAUUUACAUCAGACACAGUGGUAGCCUACAAAAUAACCUCGGACAACCAGGCAGCCUGUCAGAGAGCUGGUCCUGCCUGUUCUGAAGCAAUGAAGUGUCUCCUCUUGUUCAGAUGACAUUAUGUCAGAUUAUUAUGCAUCACCUGUCUGUUUCCUAUAUUGUAGCCGAAAAAUAAUCUAGCCUAAAAAUGUUAAAUUGAGUUACAUUUAGUGAGGAAAAUGAGUGUCUACCCAUGUGUCCACCUGUGUCCUUACAGUGAGUUGAUGACUGUGUGAGUGUGUGUGUUUAACAAGAGGGUGGGCGAGGGACUGAA